UUUUGUCCCAGCAGUGAGGGAGAGGGUGACUGGAACAGCUGGGUGCCCAGUGGACCCGUGGCGGUCGCUGCUGUCACCAGCCUUCGCUGCCGUGAGAACUGGGCUUCGGCAGCCUUUCCACGUGGACUGAAGACCACCGGCUCUCCAGGACUGUUUCAGGGCUUCGGUGCCAGAUCGGGCCAUCCAUUCUCACGGCCGGAGUGGACACUUGGGUCUCAGGCUCUCCAGCAUGCGGACAGUUGUGGUUGGAACUUUCUGAUCCGUAUUGUGUAAACCAAUCUAUAAAUCCUCUUUUGUAAUAUAUAUGUUCAUAUGUAUUUGUCAUGUAUGUAUGCCCUAACAAACUCAGUUAAAUGAAUUAAACUCAA